rnacentral:ncRNA from 1 species
GGCUCAGCUCUUGCUAAAGAAUUAUCACAGGUAGCCAACGGCGGUUGCCCCCUCACGACAAAGACGUCGC